CGCAGCCCCCGGCCCGCAGCCCCCAGCCCGUGGCCGCCGCGUGAGCAUAUGGGGCCCCGCGGGUGGCGACGUCUUGCUCUCCGCGGUUCCCCGCGUCCCCGCAGCCCUCCGGCCCAUCUCGUCCAUGACAGGGGCGCGCCCUCGGAGUGGGGGGCGAGCCUGCGGGGCACUGCGCGGCCGAGCCAGUCUGGGGCUGUGCUGGCCUUGGUGGAGAGCCCAGGAGCAGAACCCCGAGGGCCCCGGAGGGCCUUCCGGAGCACGGGGUCCAUUCAUUCGCGGGACUAGCGUGAAGUGAACGCCUGCCUCUGUGUCCAGUGCUAGGAGCUGCCUCUGUGUCCAGUGCUAGGAACGCCAGGCCGGCCAGCGACCAGGUCAGUGAGUGGGCAGGGACCUCCCAGGGAAGGAAGAGGGUGCUUCAAGCUCGGGCUUGAGCCCUGAAUGAGGGGAGCAAGCCACCCGGAGGCCUCAGCCGCCCCCCACCCCACCCCCGGCCUGCUGAAGUGCCAAGAGAGGAAGUGGGAAGACAGCCAAGCCCAAGGGGCAGCAGGAGCCCCAGGAUCCUCACGUCUUCGCUGCAGGAGAGCUGUCCUGGUGUUCCCCACGCCGAAGUGGACGCCUCCCGAUCUCCAGGGAAAAUGUUUACACACACCUAUUUAUUUUCACCAAAACCAUAAAGAAUUGGUUAAAGCCAGGCUGGGGCUGUAGCUCAGUGGUAGAGCACUUGCCUCUCAGGUGUGAGACCCUGGGUCCGACCCUCAACACCACAAAAAGAUAAAUAAAUAAAGAUUAAAAAAAGAAGAAGAAGAAUAGGUUAAAGCCAAGAAAAGGAGGAAGCCGUGGCCUGGUGAAGGGCCUGGUGGGAUGGGGUAGCCUGGUUUUGUGGAGAGUUCAAAGGGUGCCCUCUCCACCAAGCCCCCAGGAAUCAGUGACGAGGCACAACCUCCAGGGAUUGAGGAACAGGGUGUAUGAAAGGCUCCCUGGGUGGGGACUGGUGACAGAGAUGCCAGGGUGGGGAGUCGGCUCGGCCACCUGGCCACUGUAGAGAAAGCACAUCACUGCCCAGCAGGGCCACCUGAGCCAGAGCAGUCAGCAGUCCACCCAGAUGCAGCUCAAAGAAACAUCUGGAAUGGCCAGGAACCUUUGCCUGAGAAGGAACUUGCCGUCUGCAAGAGGAUGACGUGGGAAGUGAGAGUUCUGGUAACUCAGCCACAGAUUCGUAGAAAGCUCAGGACUGUUUUACUGAUAAGGAACUUAACUCUGGCAGAGGGAAGCAGCCAGGGCUCACAUGCCACUCAGCGUCACUCAUCCACUUUGAGCCUUCUUUCUCUGGAAAUCAGAGACUCAGGCGCUCAGACCCUGGGGGAGUAAUCCAGUGACUCAAACCUUGGAAGGAGAAGCAGCUGUGAAGGUGCUAGACAGGAGAAGCAGAUGCUCCCAGAUGAAUGGCACAGUGGCCUGACUUGCUUUUGAUCAGGAAAGGCUUUCCUGAGAAAACUCCCUAAGCCCAGACUGAAGAUAAACAAAAACCAGCUAGGUGAACUGGAGGAGGAACCACAUGUGCAAAGGCCCUGGGGUGGGAAGACACACAAAGCCUUCAAGGAACUGAACCGCUGGUAUGGAUGAACAUGGGGAACAACAGGAAAUAACAGUGAGCUUACUAGGAGUUUGGAAUUCUGCAGAGAUAACCAGGAGGACAGAUUUCAGUGACAAUUAACAUUCUCUUCUGUGCCCCCUUUCAAUUCUGAACAUGGCAUGUUAUUGUGAAAGACCUGAAACUCACACGCUCUGGGGAGGCCAGCCUUGCCGAGGCCUCCUGUUUCUGGCCAUCUGCCUGAUUCUAAACCUGAGGUGCUCAUUCUCUUACAUCUCCUACACAUAAACCAGAAGCAGUCACACCAGCUUCACAAUCACCAAGGACCUCAGAGGGCACGGCUGCAUGUCGGCAGCCUACCUAGGGCCGGACCCUCCCUCCGGGUCGGUAUGGUGAAGAAAGGGCUCACAUUUCUCAACAGUUGCUACUUUCACUCUGAUAUAAAUAUAUUAUAAAUCAGGAUUUUAAAACUCGAGGUGACCGUGGACCCUGUAGGUGAGACAGUGUGCUCUGGCCCCACGAUGGCCGUGUGUGCCCAGGUAUGGCUGGGACAUCGUGCCUGCGGCUGCAGCCCAGAAGCUCUGAGGAGAUCUGCUGGUGUCCCCUGCCUGGCUUGGGCAGUGUCUCAUCUUGCAGCUUUAAACUUGGGUCCGUGAUUCUGACUGCCUGGCCUGUGGUUGUAUGAGAUCAGGACUGGCCCACCAGUUGUGGCCAGUGGGCAUUCUGAACUCCUGGGUUGACCUGACCAGGGUGCAGGUCUCAACCACACCUGCUCGGCACUGCGCCUAUGCCAGCUGCCUCCAAGGACCUCAAGGCUCCUAGAGCCAGAGAGAGCCAGUCUGAAUCUUGUGCAACCUCAGGGUCACAAGCCGAACACACACCACCCGAGAAUGCUGGGGCUACAGUGACCCAGUCCUAACCAUCAGUGUAAAUUCAGACUAGUGACCCCUCACAAUGUAUGGCAGAAUCAAUCAUGUCACAAUAUUACUGUAGUUUUAAAUCUUGACAGGUUUUUACUUGAAAUAUUUUUAUACCUUCACCAUGUGCAAACUCAGGAGGUAAAUGGAGCAAAAGCUUCUCCUGGUGAAAUAACCAGCACCAGGAUUCAGGGGCCCUGUUGAGGGAGCAGAUGAGAACCAGGCAGGGUGUGAGGAUUUUGUGCACAGAGGGGCUGGAGCAGAUUGCUUGUCAUCUGAUAUCUGCCCCUUGACCCAGGGGCAGAGCUGGGCAUCAUAUCAGAUGAGCAGACAUGGGGUCACGAUGCCCAGUGACACACAGCUCAGAGGUAUAUAAUCCUGACUUCAGACUUGUCUUCCAGUAUCAGAAAUAGAGGAGAAAGAAAGGAGUUAAGAGAUGCCAGGAGGGACUGGUCAGUGGGAAGGCGGGAUCCCAUCAGACCCUGCCCAGGGCUUUUCAAGAAAUCAGUAUCAUGGGGCAUGGGGUAGCCAGGGAAGAACUGCUGUGGGUUCUAAAGGACAAAAGAAACAGGGCAAUGUUGGAAUGCACUGUUUGGGGGGCUGGGUUGUAGCUCAGCCCUUGCCUCGCCUGCACAAAGCCCUAAGUUCCGUUCCCAGCCCUGCAAAAGAAACAGUGUUCAGCCCUGGACUGGAGCUGCUUCUACUCAUCAAUUCUAAAAGGUGUUGUGGACAGGAGGGAAUUUGAACUAUGGACCAGGUUUCGAUUGUAUUAGUUAUUUACUUCGUCAGGUGUGAAAUCAUACUAUUGUUGUUGUUAGAUGGAGAAGGUCCUUAUGUUUCAGUAACAGGCUGGAGCAUUUAGAAGUGAACUGUGUGGCGUUUGUCAUCUCCUUUGAAGUAAAAGGAGAGGGGAAAGUGUUCACUGCAGGUGAUGGUCUAUGAGCGUGCCAUCUCUACUUUUUCUAUGUCUGCCAUUGUUUAUAAAGUCAGGGCGAAGCGGGAAAGAAGCUUGAGAUUCACGCCUGGCCAGGAAGACGGCUGCUGGACUGGCCUCAUGUCCAGGGCCCCGGCUUUGCUCCGCACCCAGGUGUGUGCUCAGCAUUCUCUGCCGUUAUUAAGGCAGGGCCGGGGCAUCCAACGUCAGCCGGUUCCGUGAGCUGCUCCGUGGGGGACACUGUGUGCUGCUCCAGUGUGCCUUGUGGGCCAACGUGACAGUGAAUAUAAAUGCAGACCAAGCUGUCCCUACCACCAGGACACAGAGCCGUGAGCCUGGAGCUGGGGCCAGGCAGCUGCAAGAGGAGUCCCUGGAAUUGAAGCAUCUGAAUCUGGGUUGUGAGCCUCGGCCCUGGGCCUCAGGGCCCUCGACCGUGCUGGGAGGGUCAGGCAUGUGAGCACGACCUUGAUAGCUGCCCGAUUCUGCGAAAGCUCCCUGGACACUCUGCCCUCGUUUUUAACAUAGCGUGACUGCUAGGGGGCGGUUAUGAGGAUCUUAUGAAAUGAUGUCAAGGACUUGGCCCGGGGACUCCAGAUUUUCCAUUGUGGAUAUCAGGUGGUGCAGGACUUCAAUCCCCAAAAGGAGGGGAGCAUGAGGUGCACCCGCAGCUGCCCAACUUGCUCCAGGGAAGCAGUGUCUGGGCUGCAGCCCGGGACAGGCAGCAGUUGAACCCUGGGUCUCCCAGUAAAGAGAUAUGGAGUGCAGAGAAGCCAAGGCCACUGGGAGGUGCAGGCCAGAGACCCAGGACGAGGGUCUGCUACAGGGCCUGGGAUCUGCAGAAGAUUCUGAGGAAGAGGGACAUGUGUGCACAGUGAAGCUCCUGAGACCAGCAGCCGCAGGGACACCAGAGGAGCCGGCCCGAAUAGCUCCCUGGGCUCCAGCAGUAGUUUGGGUUCCCCACGGUCCGCGUGGGAAGACCUCCUCAUACACAGGGUGUCAGGCAAGUUCUUUGAAGGGUGACACCUUCCCAGCAAGGCUGAGGUAGCCCGAAACCCAGAGCUGCUCUGGGAAAUAAUAAAACUUAGAAGAAAAGCUCAAGAGAAUGAAGCUGAGCCCAAGGAACUUCACUGCCUGUAGGAACAAAGUCCAGGCUGUCAAAGAACACAGUGAAAUCCAGCACCGGGCAACGUCCAGUUCAUAGUGUCCAGCGUCUAGUCGAAAGUCGCCAGCCACGUGGAGACGCAGGAAAGUCCAGCCCUCGACCAGUCGGUAGACACAGUCCUGCGAGUGACAGGGAUAGUGAAACUAGUGUCAUAAGUAUGCUCUAUGUGCCCCCAAAAUACAGGAAAUGAGGAGCAUAAUGAAGAAAGAUGUGGAAAGAAGUCACAGCCCCUGCUCAUAAGUGGGGACUGCUGCUGUCCCGGGGUUGGGAGAGGACCUCGAGGGCCCUGUUCCAGCCGCCGCCUGGCUUCAGCUUAGCUCCUUCCCUUCCAACCUAGAGGAGGUCCCUCCUGUCCACUGUUUGGGUCAUCAGCCCCGUGAAGAGGUGGUCAGGAGCUACGAUGCGUGUCCAUCACCUGUUGUGCUUGCCCCCCCAGCCAUCCAUCCCUGGGUACACCAUCCUGAUUGUCCUUUGGGACCCACUGUUAUGGCCUGCCCGUGGAACCCUCACUCCCCAUACCUCAGGAAGGACUGCAUCAGGAGGCAGGGGUUAGGUACAGUGUGGUCAUUAGCAUGAGCCCUAAUCCAGUCUCACCCACAGAAGGAAAUGUGGAUCCACAGAAGGGCACCAGGGGAGUGGGCACAGAGACCAGAUCAGACACCGCAGGAAGACACCGUCUGCAAACAAGGGCAAGGUCCCAGGGGGUGGGACCUCGCGGCUACUCCCCUCAGACCCAGCUCCCAGAGCUGGGAGAAACGGUGCAUCUGCCAGCAAGCCUUCGGGCCCAGGCUGUUUCAUUCUGCAGUUCCGGCAAACCAACAGGCCACCCCCGACUCCUUGUCAACAAAGCUGGGGGCAGCCCCCUCCCCACCACCCUCUUGCCCAGUGCGCAAUUCAAUGCUGGCGUCCAUCGGCCUCGGUUCAGUGCUGCUAUUGGACCUGGAGGAAAGAGACACUCUCUUCCCAUGGCCUUUCAGUUUCAGGAGCCACAGAUGAUGACCUUUCCUCUUAGGGCAGCUUGAGCUACGUGAGAGUGAGUGAUGCCGUAAGAUGGCAGGGCCUGGGGCCAAACAGGGCGCCUGCUGGACUCUUUCUCUGUCGCUUCCUCCUGGGAGCACAGCAGCCGCUCGGAGCCUCCCGGCCUGACCCUCCUGCCCAAAGGAGCCCUUUGACGCGCCCAGAUCUCAGCCAGUGCACCCAGUGGGUCUGCCAGUAGCAGGGCCCAGUGGACAGACUCAGGGACGUCGACCACGAGCUCCACCCCACUCACCCACACCCGGCCUCUCCCAGGCAGGACUGCGGGCAGACACGUGUCCAGGAGAAGGAGGAGGGCAUCCCAGCUGGGCGACACAGGGGGAAAGGACAAGACAUGACAGCUGAAGGCCAAGAUGAAGCCUGAGGGUGACACGCCCGGCCAAGGGGACACCAUGAGAAGGGGUCCAGGCUGGCCAAGUGCUCAGGGUCCAGGAUGAAAGGGGGUGGCUGGAGAGUGAGCGGCA
rnacentral:lncRNA from 1 species